UACGUAGGGUGCAAGCGUUGUCCGGAAUUAUUGGGCGUAAAGAGCUCGUAGGCGGUUCGUCACGUCGGCUGUGAAAUCCCGAGGCUCAACCUCGGGUCUGCAGUCGAUACGGGCGGACUUGAGUACUGCAGGGGAGUCUGGAAUUCACAGUGGAGCAGUGAAAUGCGUAGAUAUUGUGAGGAACACUAGUGGCGAAGGCGAGACUCUGGACAGUUCCUGACGCUGAGGAGCGAAAGCGUGGGGAGCGAACAGG
rnacentral:rRNA from 1 species